GGGAGACCGGAAGAGAAGAAAGGACACAGAGAGGAAAGAGGGUCACCGUUACCAUUUUUGAAGUCUCACCCAAGGAGGGGACCUGCUGCCGAGGACCUUUCCCCACUGGGGGUCCAGAUGUGCUGUGUCACGGGACUUCCCAGCGCUGCUCAGGUGUGGAUGUUGGCCAAAACCCACUUUGGAGAGGUUACACCCCUGGUUGGGGAACUAACGCCCCACAGGCGACUGCAGAACCCGGGAGCCCCAGUACCAAGUCCAUGCGCUCUAGGGCCCGUGCUCUGCAAGAAGAUGGAGCUGAAACUGCAGAAGCCCACACGCUGUA